rnacentral:rRNA from 1 species
UGAACGCUGGCGGCGUGCCUAAUACAUGCAAGUCGAGCGAACAGACGAGGAGCUUGCUCCUCUGACGUUAGCGGCGGACGGGUGAGUAACACGUGGAUAACCUACCUAUAAGACUGGGAUAACUUCGGGAAACCGGAGCUAAUACCGGAUAAUAUAUUGAACCGCAUGGUUCAAUAGUGAAAGACGGUUUUGCUGUCACUUAUAGAUGGAUCCGCGCCGCAUUAGCUAGUUGGUAAGGUAACGGCUUACCAAGGCAACGAUGCGUAGCCGACCUGAGAGGGUGAUCGGCCACACUGGAACUGAGACACGGUCCAUACUCCUACGGGAGGCAGCAGUAGGGAAUCUUCCGCAAUGGGCGAAAGCUUGACGGAGCAACGCCGCGUGAGUGAUGAAGGUCUUCGGAUCGUAAAACUCUGUUAUUAGGGAAGAACAAAUGUGUAAGUAACUAUGCACGUCUUGACGGUACCUAAUCAGAAAGCCACGGCUAACUACGUG